AUUAGAUUAAAAACCAAUGCCCUCCGGGGCUCCUGGUGAUUCAUAAUAACUUCUCGAAUCGCACGGCCUUGCGCCGGCGAUGGUUCAUUCAAAUUUCUGCCCUAUCAACUUUCGACGGCUGGGUCUUGGCCAGCCGUGGUGACAACGGGUAACGGAGGGUUAGGGCUCGACCCCGGAGAAGGAGCCUGAGAAACGGCUACUACAUCCAAGGAAGGCAGCAGGCGCGCAAAUUACCCAAUCCCGACACGGGGAGGUAGUGACAAUAAAUACUGAUACAGGGCUCUUUUGGGUCUUGUAAUUGGAAUGAGUACAAUUUAAAUCCCUUAACGAGGAACAAUUGGAGGGCAAGUCUGGUGCCAGCAGCCGCGGUAAUUCCAGCUCCAAUAGCGUAUAUUAAAGUUGUUGAGGUUAAAAAGCUCGUAGUUGAACCUUGGGCCUAGCCGACCGGUCCGCCUCACCGCGUGCACUGGUUCGGCUGGGUCUUUCCUUCUGGAGAACCUCAUGCCCUUCACUGGG
rnacentral:rRNA from 1 species